rnacentral:rRNA from 1 species
UACGUAGGGUGCAAGCGUUGUCCGGAAUUAUUGGGCGUAAAGAGCUCGUAGGCGGUUUGUCGCGUCUGCUGUGAAAACUCGGGGCUUAACUCCGGGCCUGCAGUGGGUACGGGCAGACUAGAGUGCGGUAGGGGAGACUGGAAUUCCUGGUGUAGCGGUGAAAUGCGCAGAUAUCAGGAGGAACACCGGUGGCGAAGGCGGGUCUCUGGGCAGUAACUGACGCUGAGGAGCGAAAGCGUGGGGGAGCGAACAGG